CUCAGUUAUCAUGCUCCAAGAUAGAGAUUCCCUUUCAUUGUUUUUUUCCUACUACAUUCUAUCCUUCCCCAAAGAGGUCGUAUUGAAGUGAUUUGCAAAUCUUAGGUCCUCUGCCCCCAUAGUCCUUGAACCCUGAAAAUGCUAAAGUAAAGCUGGAAUUUUAAUUAUUUUUGUGUAUUAAUGCUACAUGCUACAUUCAAUAAAAAUCAGGAGUAAAUUUUUACUGAAUCAUGGGAUAGAUUCAAUCAAAAUCUAUCCCAUGAUAUUAUUACUUCUUUACAAACUCAGUUACUUAUUAUUCCUGACCAUUUGGAUAUUUUACAGAUUUUAUCAUUUAUUUGCUCCAUGAUUUUACUUGAAGAGAAUUUAAUAACACUUACUAGGAUGAUUGUCCUUCCUCAUCCAUUCAACCAUUCCCACCCCUUUUCAAGGCAUAACAUUUCCUAUUUCCAAUCCUCCUCGGGUUUGUAAAAAAAAAAAAAAAAAAAAAAAAUCGCUUGGCAAUGGUUCACUAAGAAUUGCAAUUUAAUCCUUUGGAAUAACAGGCUUUUCAUCUGUGCUCCCUGCAAUGAUCCGACGAUCUGCCACACAAUCAGUUCCUUAGAAAAGAACAAUGCAACUCAAAAGAAAAGAAAGUGCUGGCAACAUGGUCAGGUUGUGCACACCUUCAGUCAACAUUUAUAUAAAAUGACAGCAACCUUUGAAGGCCUAGUUCUUCCUUGAGCAAAGAAGUGAUUAUUCAUCACAAAGGGACAGCUAAGAGGAUCUUAGAGGCAAUGUUGCCUAUGGAAAGAGCUCUUGACCAUUCUUUAAUAGGAGAAAAGGACACCAACAUGAAGCUGAACGAAUUUCAGGUAAAUGAUUCCCUUUUGAGAUUUUAAGAGAUUUUAAUUCUCUAACAUUGCUCUAAAUGUAAUAGGACAGAUGUGAAAACCUGUAAGAAGUUAGAGCAGUGGUUCUCAAUCCAUGGCAGUGCCAAUUCCCUAGGGUGCAUCUAGAAAUGCAUGGACAUGUUUUUGGUUGUCACAAUUAUGAGGAUCCUGGCAUUCUCCAGAGAUGUCAAACAUCUUAUUAUGUACCUGACAGACCUGACAUCAAAACAUACCCAACCGAAAUGUCAAUAGCUCCCCCAGUGACUCUGGGGAAGAGUCAAUGUAUGUUUUAUUUUUAUUUUUUCUAAUAAAAUCCAAUCUAGGAUUCAAAAGUUUAUUAGAAUAAAAAUAUAUGUACAUUACAGUUAUUUCACAUAAUUCACAGAUUUUACCACCAUUCAUUUUUAAAUGAUUUUAAAGUUCAUACUGUAAAUAUAUGCACAUCUAUAAACAAAUCUUAAAUUACAAAAUUUGCAACGUAUCUAUUAGAUAUUGAAUAUGAAAAUUUAGGAUUGGCAACUGAUAGUUAUAUCCUACUGCACUUACUAUUUCUAUGACAUUUUAGAGGGGGAAAAGAUUAAUUCAUUUUAAAUGAAAAAUAUAUUUCACAAAUUUGUGUAUCACCCUGUGUGUGCAGGAGCUAUGCUGGUCUUCUCUGUAUCAUUCCAAUUUUAGUAUAUCUGCUGCAAAACCAAUCAACAUAUUUUAAAAAUUAUAUUUCAAUUUUUUACAAUAUCUGACAACCUCCUUAUGAAAUUUGAUAAAAGAGACAUCAUUUCACUUUCUUCCUCCUCUCUCCCUCUUCCAAAUGCAUUUUAUUGGUUAUAUUAUUCUUCAUAACAUCUGGGGUUUUAACAUUUACAUCUUGUUCUGAAACCGUAAUUCAAACCACUGUUUACUCUUCAUUUCUAUUUUAAAUAAUUUGGUGUUCAUCAUCUAACUUCUCUGUGCCUGGCUUCUCCAUUUUUAUACUCUUUGAUUCGUCUACUUAGUUGCCUAGAUUUUAUUAUACAAAAGUUUUAAAUUUACUUAUUUUUAUUCUAUAAAAGGCUCAUGGAUUCUUAUUUCUUUACAUUCUUUAAUGCUUACUAUCCAUCUGUUGCAUUUAUCCUUAGGAGGAUAAUUUGGGCUUAAAAUUUUAAAGCCAUUCACUGUCUUCCUCAUAACUUUGUAGAUACUGCUGCAUUGUCUUUGGCUUGGAAGAUGGUGUGGAGACAUCUGGGGUCAAUCUUAUUUUCUCUUUCAUAAGUGACUUGUUUUUUGCUAGUAUACCCAUACUACUAUUAUUUUUAAAGCAUUUCCCUUUAUUAUCUCAAAUGUAAUAUAUUUGAUACCUAUACAAGAUUAAAUAUAAAAUAUGUAAAUUAUAAUCAAAAUAAGAUUUCAGCUUUUAAAUAAUUACUCAACUGAAGAACUAAAAGAAUCCCCAAUAGCACUGCAUCUACCUGUGGAUUCCUCCUCUGUCCCAUGUGCCUCUUCGCCCCCUGAGGCAGCAACUUUCCUGUAUGGUUAUCCUUCCUUUCAAUAUCCAUAUGGUUUUGUCAUGUAAGUAUGUAUUCCUAAAAAAUAUACAAUAUUAUUUCAUUUUGCUUAUUUUUAAGUUAUACAGAAAUGGUAUAAUACCAUAUAUUGUCUUUUGGAACUUUUUUCAUUCAACUUACUAUUUAAAUUUUUACAGACUCAUGUUGCAUUGUGUUACUAUAGAGUACUCACUUUUAAUAGCAUUACUGAUACAUAAUUUAAAUCAUCAAGUUCACCUGUUUCAAGUAUCUAUUUUAAUGGCUUUCAGUGUAUAUACAGAGUUGUGUAUUCAUCACCAUCUUCUACCUUCAGAGUAUUUUCAUCACCCCCAAAAGAAAUCUUGUGCCAAUUGGCAGUCAUUCCCAGUAUCCCUCUCCCCUCCUUCCCUAUCCCCUGGCCUGACUUUCUGUCUUUAUUGAUUUGCCUCUU
rnacentral:lncRNA from 1 species